GAUUAUUUCAAUAUUCUUGCCGGUGUUCCGGAGCGCUGUGUAGAUCUGGACAAGAUUUGGGGUGAAGCUCCUGCAUGGCCUGCACCAGUGAGCUGAGAAGAAGAGGCAGGUCGUCUUCCCUUCAAUGGAGGACAGAGUAUCCCAGCGGAGGGAGCAGCCGUGGUGGAAACAGCAAGGUUAGCUUUCACUUUGGAUGGAUAAAGAUGGACGGCGGGCUGAGGCGAGGCAUGAGAACGCAACACAGAAUUUGUGUGCUCAUCCUCCAAUCAGCAUGGAUCCAUGCCGAUGAUAGCGGACUGCAAGCUGCUCCACCGCGUGCAAACUCCUUUCACCGCGGUUGCUGUCAUAUCUGCUGUGUGCUGCCGCAGAGUUGCCCUGCUAUCUGCUCUAAAAUGCAAUUUUUGUAGUCUGAUUACACAGUAUUACAGUCACAAGUCUGUGGAAUUUCUGACGUUUCCGUCUCCUAACGAACUCGGCGAGCCAUCAAGGACUGUGAAUAUUGCCCGGCGACGGUUCUUUCGGGAGUUUUGGGCUUCGCACGGAAGGGAGCAUGCCCGAAAUCUUGCCGAGGCUCGUCAGGCGGAGGUUUGUUCUUUUCGUGUAUUGCCGCUCCCCUUCAGUUGUUUGUUUUGCGGUAGAAAUUCUUGUGUCCUGUCUGGUUGUGUCUCAGGUGAGGAAGCCUAAAGGGACGAUGCUUCUGGUGGAGAUUUGAAGGAUGAGCAGGGACGAUCCUUUGUGGAUAUUGGUGUAAAUAUAUUUCGCAACUCGAUAGAUUUUUAACCUGCGCGGGUUCGUUGCAUCGAGCCGCGGGAGGUGAUACCUUUAACUAUGACGCGAGAUGGAUUUUAUGCGAAUGGUGAACUUUGGUCACUUUGUGAUAGAGCUUUUACUGCUCGAACAUUUACCGUGUGACUGUGAGUAUGAAUGAAUUAAUUGGCACCUGGUUUCGGUUGAA